rnacentral:tRNA from 1 species
GGCGCUCUAGCUCAGCGGCAGAGCACUCGGCGUUCUGACUGCCCGCGGUUCGAUUCCGCAUCAAUCCCUGGUCGGGCAGACCCAGGCUACAGGCCCGUUGCAGGGCGACGCACGAGAGGUCACGGGUUCGAUCCCCGUGAGCGCCA